UCGGUCCCUAUCUGCCGUGGGCGCUGGAGAAUUGAGGGGGGCUGCUCCUAGUACGAGAGGACCGGAGUGGACGCAUCACUGGUGUUCGGGUUGUCAUGCCAAUGGCAUUGCCCGGUAGCUAAAUGCGGAAGAGAUAAGUGCUGAAAGCAUCUAAGCACGAAACUUGCCCCGAGAUGAGUUCUCCCUGAGACUAUAAGUCUCCUGAAGGAACGUUGAAGACGACGACGUUGAUAGGUCGGGUGUGUAAGUGUAGCGAUACAUUGAGCUAACCGAUACUAAUGAACCGUGAGGCUUAACCUU
rnacentral:rRNA from 1 species